rnacentral:rRNA from 1 species
UCUGGAAACUGUNUGACUUGAGUGCAGAAGGGGAGAGUGGAAUUCCAUGUGUAGCGGUGAAAUGCGUAGAUAUAUGGAGGAACACCAGUGGCGAAAGCGGCUCUCUGGUCUGUCACUGACGCUGAGGCUCGAAAGCGUGGGUAGCGAACAGGAUUAGAUACCCUGGUAGUNCACGCCGUAAACGAUGAGUGCUAGGUGUUAGGCCCUUUCCGGGGCUUAGUGCCGGAGCUAACGCAAUAAGCACUCCGCCUGGGGAGUACGACCGCAAGGUUGAAACUCAAAGGAAUUGACGGGGGCCCGCACAAGCGGUGGAGCAUGUGGUUUAAUUCGAAGCAACGCGAAGAACCUUACCAGGUCUUGACAUCCCGAUGCUAUUCUUAGAGAUAGGAAGUUACUUCGGUACAUCGGAGACAGGUGGUGCAUGGUUGUCGUCAGCUCGUGUCGUGAGAUGUUGGGUUAAGUCCCGCAACGAGCGCAACCCUUAUUGUUAGUUGCCAUCAUUAAGUUGGGCACUCUAGCGAGACUGCCGGUAAUAAACCGGAGGAAGGUGGGGAUGACGUCAAAUCAUCAUGCCCCUUAUGACCUGGGCUACACACGCGCUACAAUGGUCGGUACAACGAGUUGCGAGCCGGUGACGGCAAGCUAAUCUCUGAAAGCCGAUCUCAGUUCGGAUUGGAGGCUGCAACUCGCCUCCAUGAAGUCGGAAUCGCUAGUAAUCGCGGAUCAGCACGCCGCGGUGAAUACGUUCCCGGGCCUUGUACACACCGCCCGUCACACCACGAGAGUUUGUAACACCCGAAGU